rnacentral:lncRNA from 1 species
AAGGAUCUCCAUGUGUGGGGGGUGUGCGACUUGCUCAUCCCACACAAGUAUGCCUUUGAGAGUGCGAACAAAGGCUUUCUGAGGCACGAUAUGUGCCGAUCCUCUUUCUUUUGUGCAACCUCCUUGGGUCGUGGCCCCUUUUGGUCGUGAGGCAUUAAAGUUAUCUUGCGUUGGACCAAAAUUUGGCCUUUCUUCUUACCUUUCAAUUCUCCCCCAUGAAUCUCAUUUGGGCCUUGAGCUU